GCUCUGGCAACUUGCACUCAUUCCUGUUCAAGGUGGGAAAGAUCACAGGCUGACUCUGUGCACCUUAGCAUAUGCUACUUCUGUAACACCAGGACCUGAGGGAGACAGAGAGAGACAACUGGAAAGCUUUCUGGCCAGAGUCGGAAAAUAAAAGACAAAAUUUUGAUCACUGUGGCACAGGUGAAAAGAUGCAUAUCUUUUAAGGGAAAAUCCCAAACAGAAGUCUGCCAAGGCAAACAGAAACACAGUGAGACAAAAUACUUAAUCACAUGUACAUGGGUGAACGUCUCAAGUGAGAGUCACACAGUGUACCUCUUUAUUCGUGCAUUUAUAGUCACAGGUGCCCACACAACAGGGCGGCGUAUUUUCGCUCUUCUCAGAAAAAUGACUAUACAACAGUAUGUGGCUAUCUUACUGGAACAUUCCGUUCCUCUUUUUAUCAGAACAUGUUACACAAACACAGGCGUGCUCUCCCGCCCAGCAGGCCGUCCAAGGACGAGCUUCUGGCAAGCAAUAUGAAUCACAAACAGCAAUGCAUUUAAUAAAAA